rnacentral:rRNA from 1 species
UACGGAGGAUGCGAGCGUUAUCCGGAUUUAUUGGGUUUAAAGGGUGCGCAGGCGGCACGGCAAGCCGGCGGUCAAAUCGCGGGGCUCAACCCCGCCCAGCCGUCGGAACUGCCGGGCUAGAGUGGGCGAGAAGUGCACGGAAUGCGUGGUGUAGCGGUGAAAUGCAUAGAUAUCACGCAGAACUCCGAUUGCGAAGGCAGCGCACCGGCGCCCUACUGACGCUCAGGCACGAAAGCGUGGGUAUCGAACAGG